rnacentral:rRNA from 1 species
GACGAACGCUGGCGGCGUGCCUAAUACAUGCAAGUUGAGCGCUGAAGGUUGGUACUUGUACCAACUGGAUGAGCAGCGAACGGGUGAGUAACGCGUGGGGAAUCUGCCUUUGAGCGGGGGACAACAUUUGGAAACGAAUGCUAAUACCGCAUAAAAACUUUAAACACAAGUUUUAAGUUUGAAAGAUGCAAUUGCAUCACUCAAAGAUGAUCCCGCGUUGUAUUAGCUAGUUGGUGAGGUAAAGGAUCACCAAGGCGAUGAUACAUAGCCGACCUGAGAGGGUGGUCGGCCACAUUGGGACUGAGACACGGCCCAAACUCCUACGGGAGGCAGCCGUAGGGAAUCUUCGGCAAUGGACGGAAGUCUGACCGAGCAACGCCGCGUGAGUGAAGAAGGUUUUCGGAUCGUAAAACUCUGUUGGUAGAGAAGAACGUUGGUGAGAGUGGAAAGCUCAUCAAGUGACGGUAACUACCCAGAAAGGGACGGCUAACUACGUG